UAGCGGCGGACGGGUGAGUAACACGUGAGCAACCUGCCUUAAAGAGGGGGAUAACGUUGGGAAACCAACGCUAAUACCGCAUAAGAUAUUAGUGCCGCAUGGCACAGAUAUAAAAGGAGCAAUCCGCUUUUAAGAUGGGGCUCGCGCCCGAUUAGGUAGUUGGUGAGGUAAAGGCCCACCAAGCCUGCGAUCGGUAGCCGGACUGAGAGGUUGAUCGGCCACAUUGGGACUGAGACACGGCCCAGACUCCCACGGGAGGCAGCAGUGGGGGAUAUUGCACAAUGGAGGAAACUUCUGAUGCAGCGACGCCGCGUGAGGGAAGAAGGUCUUCGGAUUGUAAACCUCUGUCGUUGGGGAAGAUAAUGACGGUACCCAAGGAGGAAGCCACGGCUAACUACGUGCCAGCCGCUGC
rnacentral:rRNA from 1 species